GAUGCUAUACUGAUAAGAAAAAAUUAGUGAUUAAAAAUCAAAACUUGCUUCAUGCUUAUUGCUCUACUUAUUUACAAGCAUAAAAAUAACCUACGCUAAAAAACUGCUCAUUUGCAGGCUGAUCUGAUCUCCUUAUUCACCAAGUAUUUUCUUAGAAACUGGGAUGGAAUUUCCUUAAAGUUCUGAGUUCUGCAGAGAAAGUUGUGUAGAACAGGACGUGUGAGGUUUUCAACACCCCUCUGUUCUAAGCACCUUUCUGCUAUCAGAGUUUGGGCAGCCUGGGCUGUUACACCACAACCUUCUUCACCCUCAGGAAAGGAUACAAACAUCCUGGAAGUUUCUGAUCCAACAUAUUCAAGCAAAUAACACAAGUUAAGUACACCUAUUAAACCAAGACAAAUGCAAUUUGCUGAGCCUGCUACUUGGACUGGCCUUUAUGCUCACAAGCGGCAAACCAAAUAAGGACAGAAGGAAGAAAAACCACCUACAUCUUGAAGUUCAUGGAAAAGAAAAACAACCUGUAUGUCCCUACACGAGCUGCAAAUUCUACAUAAAAGUAAACUCCCAUCUUCAUCAGAAGCUUCUCUUAAGUACCAAAAUAGAUACAGGUCUAGGAAAAAGCAGUCUUUUCCUUACUGAAGGAAAACAAGCUUGAAUUGUUGCUUAUUCAUGCAUUCGCUCACUCGUUUAUUCAGGAAUCACAUAUGGCCUGCCUCCUGUAACCGUGAAGAACUGCACUCACUUUAGAAAAGUGAAAAAGUGACAGUGAGAUGAAGGGGAAA